UUAGUGGAAGCGUCUGGAAAGGCGCGCGAUACAGGGUGACAGCCCCGUACACAAAAGCGCAUGUGCUGUGAGCUCGAUGAGUAGGGCGGGACACGUGGUAUCCUGUCUGAAUAUGGGGGGACCAUCCUCCAAGGCUAAAUACUCCUGACUGACCGAUAGUGAACCAGUACCGUGAGGGAAAGGCGAAAAGAACCCCGGCGAGGGGAGUGAAAAAGAACCUGAAACCGUGUACGUACAAGCAGUGGGAGCCCCACCACUAAGCCAGUGGUGAACUCCACAUACGCAUCCUUUGCUGAGGAUGCGGUUAACGGAGCGAAAGCGACGUUCAACCGCAAAAGAAGCAGAGGGGGCUUAGUGGUGGGGUGACUGCGUACCUUUUGUAUAAUGGGUCAGCGACUUAUAUUCUGUAGCAAGGUUAACCGAAUAGGGGAGCCGGAGGGAAACCGAGUCUUAACCGGGCGUUAAGUUGCAGGGUAUAGACCCGAAACCCGGUGAUCUAGCCAUGGGCAGGUUGAAGGUUGGGUAACACUAACUGGAGGACCGAACCGACUAAUGUUGAAAAAUUAGCGGAUGACCUGUGGCUGGGGGUGAAAGGCCAAUCAAACCGGGAGAUAGCUGGUUCUCCCCGAAAGCUAUUUAGGUAGCGCCUCGUGAAUUCAU
rnacentral:rRNA from 2 species